CCUGCUUGGGUAAAAAAUAAUGGAAAAAUAUACUGCCCAUAUUGGGAUGUGUAGUUUUAUGAGUAGCUCGUUGAGUUUAUAUAGUUAUAAACAUAUCUCACACAUAGGGGUUUAAUAAGUGCUUCUUUUGUUUUAUAGGUACUUCACAUGGACAUAAUUGAAUAGGAGAGAAAAUUGGGCUGGAUUGCAUUUUGGAAACCAUAUGGUACUUUCUUGGAACCCAAGCUGCAUGCUGCCACAUCUAUAUAUUCUCCAGAAAUGGAAGGUUCAUAGGAUCAUAGAUAUAAAGCUGGAAGGGACCUUAGACCAUCAAGUCCAACUCUCAUUUUACAGGUGAGGAAAUUGAGUACCAGAGAGGUUUUAAGUGACAUGCCUAAGAUCACAUAUGUUUUGGUGGUUUAAUUUGGACAAAGGUUUCUGAGGGUACACGGUGUAGGAAAUAUAGUUCUCUAUAAUGCUGGGCUUGAAGUUUUUAGAUGGGGAUUUUAUUUCACCUCAGUACUUCUAUUGACUCUAACCCACCCCCAACCUCAUACCCAUUCCCAAAAGUCCUUACUAAGCUAGGGUCUGCUAAAAAUAACUUUGUAUAGAACUGUUUUUGACACUGACUGGAGACUUUUUAUUUUAGGCUGACCUCCCCAUUUCCUUAGUAAAAUAUUGUAAGGAUUGGUUCAGUGGAAAGUGUUGAAUUAACAAUUAAAAUUAAUUUAGAAGAAUAAAGGUCUAGAACAGUGAUAGCA
rnacentral:lncRNA from 1 species